rnacentral:miRNA from 1 species
GCGUCGACACGUUGGACGUGUU